UGAUGAAAGCGACCAAGUGUUGUUGUUGGCCUUCAUUUCAAUGCUUUGUGGCUUGAUAUGUUAUACCAGUUGAUCAAUCCUGAUCAUACCAAUGUAUGUAUUCGAAAGCUGCCUGUCAAAUUCCAGCCAUGCUUCAAUAACUCACAUAUCCACAAUGCUUUCGUUCCACAUAUGCCGCCACCGCCGCCACUGGCUCACUCGGAGUGCUUUUGGCAUCGCCCUCCAGUAUUGGGCAAAACUGCUUUGCAUAUUGACAUCAUCAUUUUUACCGAGACGACAAACUGUCAAACAAAACAAUUGCUGUCAAAUUUACUACAAUGAGCGGACGAAUGUUGACGCAAAAAAAAAAACAAAAAAAUGGAAAGAAAAAAAUAAAAUUGAGCUGUCAAGACACACACAGAGCAUUGAGAAAGGGGAUGAGAGGACAAGAAAACGAAAAAAAACGCCAAAGUGGAAAAUGAAACAAA